rnacentral:lncRNA from 1 species
AGGACCCUCGAUGCUUUGUCGUGGUUAGGAGACUUCAGUUCCUUGCCACCCUAAAGGAGAUCGUGUCCUCCAACAUCUGGCCCUGCUGCCUUUGGCACCACAGCUUUCUACAUACCCUGGAGCAGAGACUUAACUGUGUUUCCUUAACAAUAUUUUCAUGCUGUUUCCUAUAUCAGGAUAUAAAUACCACAAAAC